rnacentral:sRNA from 1 species
AGCAAAAGCCUCUAACCUACUUGGAACUUUUAGGCAUAACAACAAGCCAUUGGAACCAGCCCUAAGACAUUUCAUGCUUCAACUGAUGUCCGAAACCCGCAGCAACGUCAUUUGUGGAAUGGCAGCAUUAAAUCUCAAUUUCGUCACAUCGCUUCUUGUGGCCAUUUCAACAUUGUUCAUAUUUUUGGUACAAUAUGACAUUACGUUCGAUGCUCUUAAUUAACUUUUGAGCUCCGCAUCUAAACCAGUUUUAAAGCAAGAUC